UACGUAGGGGGCAAGCGUUGUCCUGAUUUAUUGGGCGUAAAGAGCGUGUAGGCGGCUAGAUAGGUCCGUUGUGAACACUCGAGGCUCAACCUCGAGACGCCGAUGGAAACCAUCCAGCUAGAGUCCGGAAGAGGAGAGUGGAAUUCCUGGUGUAGCGGUGAAAUGCGCAGAUAUCAGGAAGAACACCCGUGGCUAAGGCGGCUCUCUAGUACGGUACUGACGCUGAGACGCGAAAGUGUGGGUAGCAAACAGG
rnacentral:rRNA from 1 species